AGUGCGGCUGCGGUGGCAGUCACGAUGGAAGCUGCUGAUGUGACAAAAGGAAAACAAAGGCGCCCAGAUGGACGCUGACAGCUACCGGAACAAAAUCAUGAGGAUGACUCUUCAGUGACUGGUGUUGGGGAAACUGGUGUUCCAGGCAACACACCGUCUUCUCUCAUCCACGUGCAUAUACAAUCGUUAAUCACAGGGGCUGCACUCCGUGCUCAACCGGCCUGUGACCACGCCUUUCUAUCUCUGGCACCGGACCCGGUCUGGAGUCUCCAAACCCAGCAGAUCCCUGCGGUGCACUCCCGCGCGGCUCCUCCCGGGGGAGGAAGGUGAGUCUCCCCGGAUCUGCCGCUUGUUGGGUCCCUGCUGGAGGAGCAGGGGCCCGACUGGGCCGCGGAUCGCGGUUAAUGGCAACCCCAGCUGAGAGCCCGCGCCUGGGCUCCGCCUCUGCAGCCGGCUUCCCUGCUGCGUUACCUGGGAGCUCUGCUGCCCUCAGGCACCCCCGGUCUUUCUGUGACCCCGAGGGUCCUGAGACCACACUGUCCCGGAGGGUUCCACCCCCCGCUGAGCCACCAGA